GGAUCAUUACUAGAGCAAAGGAUAGACAGCGCCCGCGGAGCUCGCUCCCGGGGCUACCCUACUCCCGUAGGGUUUAGAGUCGUCGGGCCUCUCGGAGAAGCUCGGUCCUGAACUCCACCCUUGAAUAAACUACCUUUGUUGCUUUGGCGGGCCGCCUCGUGCCAGCGGCUUCGGCUGUUGAGUGCCCGCCAGAGGACCCCAACUCUUGUUUUUAGUGAUGUCUGAGUACUAUAUAAUAGUUAAAACUUUCAACAACGGAUCUCUUGGUUCUGGCAUCGAUGAAGAACGCAGCGAAAUGCGAUAAGUAAUGUGAAUUGCAGAAUUCAGUGAAUCAUCGAAUCUUUGAACGCACAUUGCGCCCUCUGGUAUUCCGGGGGGCAUGCCUGUUCGAGCGUCAUUAUAACCACUCAAGCUCUCGCUUGGUAUUGGGGUUCGCGGUUUCGCGGCCCCUAAAAUCAGUGGCGGUGCCUGUCGGCUCUACGCGUAGUAAUACUCCUCGCGAUUGAGUCCGGUAGGUCUACUUGCCAGCAACCCCUAAUUUUUU
rnacentral:rRNA from 1 species